AUUGUAACCCAGCGAGAUGACAGAAACCAGAACACAGCAGGCAGAUGUUAGUCUGUGCAUGCCUCUGAGGCCUGCGCGUGCUUCUGAGAAAGCAGCCUGCUUUUGGUAAUUGUUACACCUGCUGUUAAUUUGCCAUCGCUGCUCCCUUUUCAAAUGCCGUGGUAAAUACAAUUUGGCCCUGUGCUGUGCAUUUGUACAGCUUCACUUCAUAAAACCCUUUUUUUAAGGUGUGAGGGAGAGGUUUUGUUGGCUGGCUUAAGAAACUGGCAAAAGUUUGCAUUUUGCAAUCAUUCUUCGACGUGGAAUGAUACUUUCAACUUUUUAUUUUUUUUAAUUCCUAGGGUUUUUCAAAUGAUGUUUACCUUUGUUCAAAUAGCAUUAAUAAGUAGAUAAAUUUUGAUACAUGUCUGUAAUUUAUCUCUUGGAUGGGAUAGACAAUGACACCUUUCUGUUUACUUUGACUGUUUUAAGGAGAAAAUACUUAAGAGAAAAUGCUGUGGCUUGUCAGGGAGAUUCAGAAGGUUAAUUCUCUUUUAUGCUUUUAUUUGCAUUAUUUUAUUCAGAUUUGCAUAAAUACAUUUUAUCCCAUCUCCCAUUUACAUUUUUCAUUUAAGUGUUUUCUAAAAGAGGAACAAUCUGAAAGCAGCCUGUUGUGAUCUGCCAGGUACAUUGGUCAUUUUAAGUUUGUUCAUGUUGUAGCUUUUUUGGGGUCUGAGGUAACUUUUACGGAUAUCACUUUGUGUUACUUUCAUAAUAUAAACAUUGGUUUUGUGACGAACUAAUGAAUAGAUACAAAUAAAUGAAUCUACUGCUAUAAUGUGAUCUCAAUACAAUGCCAGCCAGGUGAUUCCUGCAAAAGGACACUUUGGCCCUAUAUUUUCCCCAUAUUCUUCAAAUGGGCAAUGUUGCUUUAUUUGCAUGCCAUUUCAGGACUCUAAAGCCUAUUUAAGUUGUGGAAGCCAGUCUGUCAUUAACUUGAGCUGCAUAAACAGAAUAUACAGCCCAGGGGUAGAACUAUUGCUUUGAAUGAAGAAG